AACACGUUUGUCCGUUCAAUAUGAAGCUACAGCCCAUUAGCUUAGCAUUUAAGUGUGGAAUUAACACGUUAUCACGUUUGUUAAAUCUGUAUAAUAUUUGAACUAAAUUAUGCUAAAGCCGUGUCCUGGCUCAUAGCUUCAUAUUUAAUGGACAGAUUUGAGAGUGGUAGCAGUCUUCUCAGCUAAUUCGGCAGCAAAGCUAACAACCUUAUUUCCCAAAAUGUCGAACUCUUCCUUCAGUAACGUUAAGUUACACAGAGGACACUGUUGCUCCAAAAACUAACACCAGCCCCUGCAGCCAUGUUGGGAUCAACAGCUCCCAAUUCCCUGGGCCAUGCUGUUAACUCUCAUCCUGCUUCCAGGACUGAAUCAUUUUUUGCGUCAGUGUCGAUGGGAGUCAUUAGAAGGGUCGGGCUCUCCUCUCGACUGAUGAAGAGCGGCUGCAGCAGGAGAGGGACCAGGGGAGCAGGAGGAGGACAGACUCCGGCACGCUAACAACCACAACCAUCAUCAUCAUCACCAUCGCCACGCGUACCUGCUGCUCCGGGGAGACGCUGCCUCCUGUCAAACAGCGGAAGGACCCUGGUUCACCUGCAAUGCUAAGUUGUGUGCGUGGGUGUAACUGUAUGUGACUGCAUCUGUUUGUGUGUGUGUGUGUGUGUGUGUGUGUGUGUGUGCAUGGGAAUACGUGUGUAUGUGUGCAUCCCGCUGUCUACAUAAUUCCCUGCCAGUCUCGGCUCACUCUUUGGCUUUGACUGUUCACUCCUCUUUCUCUUCCUUCACCUCACCCCUCUGUCUCCCCCCCUCCUCCUUUUCUCACUGUAUCACUCCAUAUAUUCAUGAAUUUCCUGUUUAUCAUGACAACUUAUGCAUGAAAAUAGAGGGUGGGAUGGGAAAAAACAAAAAAACAAACAGGGUGAAUGUUGAUGGGGGUUUUGUCUCGUCCGGGUGCAGAGCUGCACAGGCAGCCCAGUCCUCAGGGGACGUAUGCAAGAAGACCCUGAUUCCAUCUCCCUUUUCUUUUCUUUCUGUAUCUUUUCUUUUCUCUCUGUCCUUCCAUCCACCCACCAACCGCCUUCCAUCUUUCCCUCCUAACAUGCGUCCCCCCUUGCUUUCCUCCCCCCAGUCCCCCACCUACCCGCUGCCUUUCUCUUCUCGUCUCUCCUUCACAGUGUCAAAGCCAGUUACAGGCAGAGGAGCUCUCCUUCUUAAAUAAUUCACAAGUUGAUUAAUAGACUCACAAGGGUAUAAUUAGGCAGGGGAGAGAUGGUGGCUAGUGUAACCAGUACAGUGCUUAGGGGAAUUAGAGAGCGGGGUUAUUGAGGAAAUGGAGAGUACCAGUAAAAAAAUAAAUAAAUAAAAUCAAAUAAAACGUGGCGGCUGAAGUGGUGGAC